rnacentral:lncRNA from 1 species
UGAUCAUUUCAGCAGUUAUACUGAACCUAUAGCACCUGUGCAGCUUCUCUGGGCAAAGCAGAAGUAGCUUCAGUUGCUGAGAACUGGAUGUAUUUGACUUUCCUUCUCCUGAAGAAUAUGUAGUUAUACAAGUGCAGCUCAGCUCAGAGAAAUGUGCUUUGAUCUCAGAGUAAAAUGAGAUUGCAGACUGCUAUUUCUAUUUAAUGCAUCAAGAAGCUGCGGGACAGAGAGGUUAAAUGGCUUAUCCAAGUUGCAAGAGAGACUCAGUGAUAGAACUGGAAAUAGGAGCCAAAUGUCUUGUUUCUCAUAUCGCUGUUCCAAGUCAUCAAGUUUAAGAUCUAAAAUCAGACAAAACUCAGGAGGUUGGCUGCUGAGGAAAUUGGCAACUGCCUUGCAACACAGCCACAAAGAAAUUGCUUCCCUUUUUCACCAGGAGAGUCAUGACAGCAAGCACCUUGCUCCUUACUUACUGCUGUAUGCUGUAUUAAAGGCAUCUGUAUUGAAUCAUUCAUUUGUGUAGCACUUUGUGCAUAGCUCAGUGAAUGAAGCAGUGAGCUAAUG